AGCCCCGUCGUCUAGCGGUAAGGAUGCCGGCCUUUGGAGCCGGUGGCGGCGGUUCGAAUCCGCCCGGGGCUA
rnacentral:tRNA from 1 species